GAGUUACUCACAAAGCCGAAUCCUCCAUAUUUGUUGCUAGCCAUGGUGCCGGUGAAUUCGUUGCAGUACUUAUUGAGGAAGACUUUCGCAUAAGGGAGUUCGAGAAAGGCCGCAGCUAUAUUUUUGCUCUUGAAUUCCUUAAGUUGUUGCACGGUGAGCAUUGAAGAGAAACUGGCAGUGUAGCUCGAGGUUAGGAUCAUCACUACAAAGAGCCACACCAGAAUCACCAAACGUGUGUCGUUUCUGUUGAUUUUCUCCCCUGCAACAUGAAACCAUGUGGCAUUAGAUAGAACUUAAUUUCCUCUCCUUAGUAAAUCAAUGUUUUCCUUCAGAAGCGUUCUUAUCAAUUUUGACCAUUCUGAACAUUUUGGAAACAGAGUUCUAGUCAAUGAUACAAGGAAAGAAGCCAGUAAUGCCAUACUGGAAA